rnacentral:rRNA from 1 species
GAGUCAUUGGGACUCUGUUAAACCUAAAGGCGCAAUGAAAGUAAAGGUCCGCCUCGCGCGGACCGAGGGAGGAUGGGCCCGUCCACGGGCGGGCCCCGCACUCCCGGGGCGUCUCGUUCUCAUAGCGAGAAGAGGCGCACCCAGAGCGUACACGCUGGGACCCGAAAGAUGGUGAACUAUGCCUGGUCAGGACGAAGUCAGGGGAAACCCUGAUGGAGGUCCGUAGCGAUUCUGACGUGCAAAUCGAUCGUCGGAACUGGGUAUAGG